AUGUCAUUUAAGUGGUCACUGUACGCAAAGGUUUCCUCGGGCCGGAGGCGUGCAAAGGUUUUCUCGGGUCGGGUGAAGAUUGGCCCUCGAGUGCAAAGGCAGAAGGGAGCUUGACUGCAAAACCCACCCGUCGAGCAGGGACGAAAGUCAACCUUAGAGAUCCGACGGUGCCGAGUAGAAGGGUCGUCACUCAACGGAUAAAAGUUACUCU
rnacentral:ncRNA from 1 species